GAUGAACGCUGGCGGCGUGCUUAACACAUGCAAGUCGAACGGAAAGGCUCCUGCUUGCAGGGGUACUCGAGUGGCGAACGGGUGAGUAACACGUGGGUGAUCUGCCCUGCACUUCGGGAUAAGCCUGGGAAACUGGGUCUAAUACCGGAUAGGACGAUGGUUUGGAUGCCAUUGUGGAAAGUUUUUCGGUGUGGGAUGAGCUCGCGGCCUAUCAGCUUGUUGGUGGGGUAAUGGCCUACCAAGGCGUCGACGGGUAGCCGGCCUGAGAGGGUGUACGGCCACAUUGGGACUGAGAUACGGCCCAGACGCCUACGGGAGGCAGCAGUGGGGAAUAUUGCACAAUGGGCGCAAGCCUGAGGCAGCGACGCCGCGUGGGGGAUGACGGCCUUCGGGUUGUAAACUCCUUUCGCUAGGGACGAAGCGCAAGUGACGGUACCUGGAGAAGAAGCACCGGCUAACUACGUG
rnacentral:rRNA from 1 species